CGGGGCUGAGGGUGCGGAGGGAGCCCCUGCGCUGUCCUUGUUAGGGCAAUCCCUGGGUUAGCGGGCUUCUCUCCAUCGCCGUCGCUGCGGACGAUGUGCUCCGCUCGCGAUUUAUUGCAAUUAUAAUGCGAUCGUCCGGAAUUAGGGAGCCCCGAGGGGUGUUAGAGGGAAGGAGGGUGGAAAAAGAGGAUGGCUAGCUUGGGUGCGCUAAGCUUUGGGGAUUUUGCCCUGCAGGGAGGUAAGAGGAAAUAGAAAUUGUUCUCUGCAAACUUUGGGAAGUGCUUUGCUCCAAAGAGAAAUCCUGGUGGUGGUUUGUUUGCUUGUUUGUUUGUUUUUUCAUCUUUGGGAAACUUAAGGAGAGGUUGUAACCUCUGGAAUGGUGGUUUUUGUGUAUGUAUAACAGCCGUGGAACACGUUCUGAGCUGUGAGCUGGAUCCCAAGUGGAGCUGCAAGGAGCUGAUGACCGGUAUCCUUCAUGCUGCCAUGCUUCCUCGUGUGUGUGCUGUGUGGAAGGGGAGGGCAGCCACAGAACCUUACACACACGGCAUGGAGGGGUCACAGGUACUGUGCAGCUGGUACAGCCGCAGGAAAGCGUCCUAAAUAAUACAGACAGGGAGCAAACAGCACUGAAACCAAAGCCCACAGGGGGUCAGGAGAAAGCAAGGUGCAUCGUGGCACCUGGGGUGCAGGUCAAUGAUGCAGUCCCUCUGAUCGCUCUGUAGCCCUAUGAAGCAAAAUCCACCUGCAACAGCAGCAGGCAGCAUCAGAGCUGCACGAUAAAGCUUCCCAAAAAAAGCAGAGUCCCGACCUUAAUCCACACCCCAACCCUGCCAGCAGCCGGGAACCAGAGCACGUCCGUGCUCAGCAUGCAGACUUCUGCACUCAGACAAGGAGGAUUAUGGGCAUCAUAUGACUGACUGCAAUGAUGGUGUGUGCUUAAUUGGUGAAGGGCUGCAUUUUCUAUCUUUAACACAGGACAAAGGGCCAGCGGGCUGCCUCGUGCACAAGGUUCUUUUCAGGUGUUUUCUUCACUGUACUUUACCCAGAGAGCUGUGGAUUCCCCAUCCCUGGAGGUGCUCAGUAUCAGGUUGGAUGGGGCUUUGGAUAACCUGGUCUGGUAGGAGGUGUCUGCCCAUGGAAGGGUUGGAACUGGAUGGGUCCCUUCCAACUCAAUACAUUCGAUGAUUCUGUGAUUCUGUGAUGAUGCUGACACAGCUGAGUGGAGGGCAAGGCAUGAAGCAUCGCUGGGCACAGCGUGUGAGGGCAGUAUUAAAUGCUGCACUCUCUUGGGUGCCUGCCAGCAGAUCCCAUGGGGUUUUGCAGUGUCUGAAGCCCAGGAGUGCAUCAUUCCUUCAAUCAGAACACAUUUGGUUGCUUCCCAUAGCCACGUCCCACCACCCACUUCAGUUACCAACCUAUGUAAAUGAGUGCAGUAUAGGAUCAUAGAAUGGCUUGUGUUGGAAGGGACCUCAAAGCCCAUCUAGUUCCACCCCUCGCUGUGGGCAGGGGCACCUCCAUCCAACCUGGCCUCGAGCACCUCCAGGGAUGGGGCACCUCUCCACUCUCUGAGUAAAGAAUUUCCUGCUAA